ensembl:lncRNA
AAAGAUUUUGAUUAUAGGCACAGGAAACAAAAGUCCGUUAUUCAUCAAAUAAUAUGCUUCACUGCUUUUUCCAGUAGGCCAUCUCCAUGGGAGAGGAAAUAAUUCAGUUUCUAAACUUCUUUAGAUAUUAGCUGCUCUGCUGGGUUUCUUGCAAGCUAAUGAACGGAGAUCUCUAUUUUAGAAAAAAAUGAUUAUUACUAUUAAAUUCAUUUUAUUUAUUAUAUCUUGAUCUUUACCUUUUAUAUCUGCCCCAUCUAUUUGUCUUUAUUAUUAAGUACAAAAUAAUAGGGAUUGAGAGUUGGUUCCACUUAGUAUUCCAUUCUCUAAGUGCCUGAGAAGCAACCCAGGCUAAUAUUUCCCUCUCUGCCACUCUUCCAAAAUUAUUAAAAAUUAUCUAGAGAAGUUCCCAUUGUGGCUCAGCAGGUUAACUAACUGACAUUGUAUCUCUGAGGAUGCAGGUUUGAUUCCUGGCCUCACACAGUGGAUUAAGGAUCCAGUGUUGCUACAAGAUGCAGCAUAGGUUGCAGAUGCAGCUUGGAUCCGGUGUUGCUAUGGCUGUGGUGUAGGCCUCAGCUGUGCUCCAACUCGACCCCUGGCCUGGGAAUGCCCAUAUGCCACAGGAUUCUACUAAUCCUUACUAGGAGUCUACAAAGAUUCCCCACUACCAUUUGUUUAUUCAUAACCAAGAGCUUAGACCACAUCUUCUUAUAAACAUACUUUCACAUUGGUUUCCCCUAACACAGAACUUUUACACUUGUCAGUCACCUGUUAUUUUUGUGCCCACACACAUCUUCAUGAGAACACCUGGCCAACGGGCACCACAUCUUUUAAAUUUACUUGAGUUAGCAUUUAGAAAAAUGUCAGGGGCAUGAGGACACUUAAGAAAUAUUCCCAUCAUGAUGCUUCUUCAGAGGUAUAGGUGAUCCUAUAAACAGUGGGCAAAGAGGUCACGUGGGUCAGGGCAGAUGUUAUGACAAGGUGAUUAUUCCCUCACUCCGGUACAUGUUUUGGGGUCUGUGGUAAAGAGGGGUAGGGCCAGAGACAGGUUGUAGCUCCCUCAGAAAAAUGUCACUUGUUGACUUACAAUAAGGACUUACUCCUCUUACAAAAGUGAUAGUUUGUUAAUUAAAAGUUAAUUAAAUGUAAGAGUUCCUGCUGUGGCUCUGAGGUAACGAACCCGACUUGUAUUCAUGAGGAUGUAAGUUUAAUCCCUGGCACCGCUCAGUGAGUUAAGGAUCUGGUGUUGCCAUGAGCUAUGGUGUAGGUUGCAGACACAGCUUGGAUCCUCCGUUGCUGUUGCUGUGGCUGUGGCAUAGGCCUACAGCUAUAACUCCAAUUUGACCCCUAGCUUGAGAACUUCCACAUGCUGUGGGUAUGGCCCUAAAAAAAAAAAAAAAAUUAAAAGUUAGUUAAAUGUAGAGUUUUCAAGGCACUGUCAUAUUCUUUCACAACAGUGAAUAUGUCUAUAAUGUACCCUAUUUGCAAAGCUCUGAGAAUGAAAUAGUCACCUUUGUUUAAUCCUCAACACCACACAUACAACUCUUUAAACAGACAUCCCAUUCCUUUGCCUUAAUGGUAACGAAGUCACAGACACUAAAAAGUUACUGGGAGUAUUAAUACCAACUAUGUGCUUACUGUGUGCCCAGCACACUUUAAAAUCUUCUUCCCAGAUUAUCUCACUUAUCUUCACUAUAAUCCUAUGUGGUUAGAUAAUGUUAUUUAUCCUUAUUUUCUAAACAGAGAAACCAGAGCUCAGGGAGGUUAAGCAACUUGCCCCAAAUCACCCAGACAGUAUGUGGUAGAGCUGGGUUACAAAUCCUGGCCCUGUCAGUGGUCUAUGCUCUCACCUCCCUCCACGGAGCGGCCAAAACUAAAUGCAGAGUAUAAAAACCAAGUACUAGACAAAGCUCUAAAUGCUUUGCUCUGAAGAACUCAGGGGCCCAGCUGAAUGCUGAAGGAGAGAGAACACAGAGGAUGUGCAUAAUUACUCCAGGCAAUGGGAACUUUUAAGUCAAUGCACUGAUGAAAAAUGUGCCGUUCACGCAAGGAACCCAGAGGAGACAAGAUUCCAGAAGAAAGGAAGCCAACGUUUGACUCUGUGCCUCUCUCAACUCUCCUCUUUGAGACCCUCCUGAUGGUGGCCACAUGGUCAGCAUGGACCUCACUUUUGCUUUCAUUUGUUUGCUUCCUGAAGUGAUGUUAGAGGGCUUAAGGCCUUUGGUCCCAAAUUAGCACUGUUUGGGGGAGGGGGUAAGGGCAGGGCAGAACUAGCACAUUUUCUCCCUGGAGCUGUACUGAUAUGUCUCUGCUCACCUCUAUGGAUUCAUCCCGGUCGGAGCAAGAAUGCAUGUGAGUCUACACAGGGACAGGAGGAGUGGCUCCCACAUGUAGAGUCCAGCCCCAAACCCAGUCUGUCUGUCUGUCUCUCUCUAUAUAUAUAUAUCUUUCUUCCUUUCUGUCUUUCUUCCUUUCUCCUUUCCUUCCUUUCUUUUCAUAAGAAAACAAAUUAGUAUUUUGGUUUUAAGGAUGUGAGAUAGCAACCGAACUAUUAAGGAAGCAUAUUCAUUAGGAGAUCUUUAAAAAUAUGCAUUUCUUUAAGCAUGUGGGAGAAAACCUCAGGAGCCCUAUGUGGAAGGUGGUCUGGUAUAGAGGAAAGACACCUUUUGUGCUCCUCAAUCCUCACAAUCACUUACCACAUCCCACCAGUUUUCUUUUACAAUGUUUCUCUCACAUCCUUCCUACUGCCUCUGCCACUUUCCUAGCAGGAGAAUGGAAGAACCAUGAUAGGAACAUCUGGGGAUUUCAGGCCCAGAUGUUCCAUUACAGCCUGAUGAAGAGCUCUAUUAAAAGUAUAGGAAACACAGGGAGUUCCCGUCGUGGCGCAGUGGUUAAUGAAUCCAACUAGGAACCAUGAGGUUGCGGGUUCGGUCCCUGCCCUUGCUCAGUGGGUUAAAGAUCCGGCGUUGCCGUGAGCUGUGGUGUAGGUUGCAGACACAGCUCGGAUCCCGCGUUGCUGUGGCUCCGGCGUAGGCUGGUGGCUACAGCUCCGAUUCGACCCCUAGCCUGGGAA